rnacentral:rRNA from 1 species
GUGUAGGGGUAAAAUCCGUAGAUAUCACCAAGAAUACCCAUUGCGAAGGCGAUCUGCUGGAACUCAACUGACGCUAAGGCGCGAAAGCGUGGGGAGCAAACAGGAUUAGAUACCCUGGUAGUCCACGCCCUAAACGAUGUACACUAGUUGUUGGGGUGCUAGUCAUCUCAGUAAUGCAGCUAACGCAUUAAGUGUACCGCCUGGGGAGUACGGUCGCAAGAUUAAAACUCAAAGGAAUAGACGGGGACCCGCACAAGCGGUGGAGCAUGUGGUUUAAUUCGAAGAUACGCGAAGAACCUUACCUGGGCUUGAUAUCCUAAGAACCUUUUAGAGAUAAGAGGGUGCUAGCUUGCUAGAACUUAGAGACAGGUGCUGCACGGCUGUCGUCAGCUCGUGUCGUGAGAUGUUGGGUUAAGUCCCGCAACGAGCGCAACCCACGUAUUUAGUUGCUAACGGUUCGGCCGAGCACUCUAAAUAGACUGCCUUCGUAAGGAGGAGGAAGGUGUGGACGACGUCAAGUCAUCAUGGCCCUUAUGCCCAGGGCGACACACGUGCUACAAUGGCAUAUACAAUGAGACGCAAUACCGCGAGGUGGAGCAAAUCUAUAAAAUAUGUCCCAGUUCGGAUUGUUCUCUGCAACUCGAGAGCAUGAAGCCGGAAUCGCUAGUAAUCGUAGAUCAGCCAUGCUACGGUGAAUACGUUCCCGGGUCUUGUACUCACCGCCCGUCACACCAUGGGAGUUGAUUUCACUCGAAGCCGGAAUACUAAACUAGUUACCGUCCACAGUGGAAUCAGCGACUGGGGUGAAGUCGUAACAAGGUAACCGUAGGAGAACCUGCGGUUGGAUCACCUCCUUUCUA